CAACUACAUAGAUACCUUUCCCUACUCUCUCGAUUGCUGUCCUGUGCAAGCUCUGGAGAGAGAGAGAGAGAGAGAGAGAGAGAGAGGGAGAGAAAGGGGAUUCCUCUUGCUCCUCUCCUCCCAAGCUUGCCUGCAUUGCUGGUUUUCCCCUUAAAGCUUUGAUUUUGAUGCUGGAUCUUUGAGAUUUUUCUCUGGGCAGCUUCUCAUUGGUGUUUAUAAUGGCUCCAAGCUUUGAUUUUUCUGAGUGGAGAGGGACUCCGGUGGUGGUGACAAUGGAGAAUCCAAACUACUCGGUGCUUGAAAUAGAUGGCCCAAGUUCCAAUGGCUUCCAUUCCAUGGAUAAGGGGAAAGGGAGGAAUGCCAAGCAGUUCACUUGGGUCUUGCUUCUUAAAGCUCACAGGGCUGCUGGUUGCCUUGCUUGGAUGGCUGCUGCUCUUUGGACUCUCAUGGGAGUCGUCAGGAAAAGGCUGAUCUUCAGGCAGGGAGUGUCCAUGGAGACUGAAAAGCCCGGAAAAGGUCAUCUCUUGUUUAGGUUCAUCAGAGGUUUCUUGGUUCUCUCUUUGGUUGCUCUUGCUUUUGAGAUUCUUGCUUAUUGUAAUGGCUGGCAUUUCCACAAGCCAGAGCUUCACAUUCCCCAGAGCUUUGAGAUUCAAGGAUUCAUGCAUUCUGCCUAUCUCUCUUGGCUUGCUUUCAGAGCUUCCUACGUUGCUUACCCUAUUCAGCUUUUGUCCAAAUUCUGUGUCAUUCUGUUCAUUUUACAGUCUUUGGAUAGGUUUGUAUUGUGCUUUGGGUGCUUUUGGAUCAAAUUUAAGAAGAUCAAGCCGAAGGUUGAGGGGGAUUUGUCCAAACGAGGUGAUUUAGAGGCUCCGGAUUGUGAAUUUCCUAUGGUCUUGAUUCAGAUUCCAAUGUGUAAUGAAAGAGAGGUGUAUGAGCAAUCCAUUUCUGCAGUGUGCCAGAUAGACUGGCCGAAAGAUCGGUUUUUAAUUCAAGUCCUUGAUGAUUCCAACGAUGAGGCAAUAAAGGUUUUGAUCAGAGCUGAGGUUGCCAAGUGGAGCCAAAAGGGUGUCAACAUCGUUUAUCGGCAUCGCUUGGUGAGAACCGGGUAUAAAGCUGGGAAUCUCAAGUCUGCAAUGAGCUGUGACUAUGUUCAAAAUUAUGAGUUUGUUGCUAUAUUUGAUGCUGACUUCCAACCUAAUCCUGAUUUCCUUAAGCAGACAAUUCCACAUUUUAAGGGAAAUCCUGAACUUGGAUUAGUCCAGGCGAGGUGGAGUUUUGUGAACAAAGACGAGAACCUCUUAACUCGUCUCCAAAAUAUCAACCUUUGCUUUCACUUCGAAGUGGAGCAGCAGGUGAAUGGUGUUUUCUUGAACUUUUUUGGCUUCAAUGGCACUGCCGGUGUUUGGAGGAUCAAGGCGUUGGAGGACUCUGGAGGUUGGCUUGAGAGAACUACUGUCGAAGAUAUGGAUAUAGCUGUCCGUGCGCAUCUCAAUGGUUGGAAGUUCAUCUUCCUAAAUGAUGUCAAGGUUCUAUGUGAAGUUCCUGAGUCCUAUGAGGCUUACAGGAAACAACAACAUCGGUGGCACUCCGGUCCGAUGCAGCUAUUUCGGUUAUGUCUACCAGCCAUUCUAAAAUCCAAGAUAUCGGUAUGGAAGAAGGCGAACUUGGUCUUGCUGUUUUUCCUCUUGAGGAAGCUUAUUCUUCCAUUUUAUUCAUUCACAUUGUUCUGUGUCAUACUUCCGCUAACCAUGUUCAUCCCUGAGGCCGAGCUACCGAUGUGGGUGAUCUGUUACAUACCGGUUAUCAUGUCAUUACUCAACAUCCUCCCGGCUCCAAGAUCGUUCCCCUUCAUUGUGCCUUACCUUCUCUUUGAAAACACCAUGUCAGUGACCAAGUUUAAUGCAAUGAUCUCGGGUUUGUUCCAAUUAGGCAGUUCAUAUGAAUGGGUUGUCACAAAGAAAGCCGGAAGAUCAUCAGAAUCAGAUCUAAUGUCAGUGGUGGAGAAGGAUUCAAAGGUCUUAAAUGAGCCACAACUCCAGAGAGGUGUUUCAGACAGUGAGCUCCAUGAGCUAAACAAACUGAAAGAGAAACAAGAAGAAGCAUUUCUUCCUACCAAGAAGAAGUCGAACAUAAUUUACAAGAAGGAGUUGGCUCUUGCUCUUCUUCUCCUCACUGCAGCAGUCCGAAGUCUUUUAUCUGCGCAAGGUAUUCACUUCUAUUUUCUGCUAUUCCAAGGAGUGUCAUUUCUCCUUGUUGGUCUUGAUCUAAUUGGGGAGCAAAUGAGCUAAUGAAGAAAGUGAAUAAUUGAGUCGGAAAAGAACUUGUUCACUCGUAUACAUCCAGUAUGCACUUCAAUAGCGAAACCGGGGUAUACCCUACAAAAGGUCAUUGUUUCAAGGGACAAGCGAAAAUGAGAACCCUGCCAUGUUUAAUAGAUUUUGGUAGAUAUGGGAAGGCUAAGACAAAUGGGUCAUCGUCUGAGCAUGUGCACUGUUUUUGAGUCUUUUAUGAAUUUAAUGCACAUGAUUAUGCAAUGUUUGGCAGAAAUAAAAAAGCAUAACCUUUGUCAAUUAUUCAGAAAAUGAAUUCAGGGAAUUGAAAACCACAUUGCAAUCUUUCAGAUAUCUGAGAACGGUAGGUACACUAUCAGAUCAAUAUGCUCGACCGCGGGGAGCUAACCAUGUGAACUGAUCUGGUUUUUUUGUUUAAUAAGAAUUUUACUCUGUUUAUUCAGUGUUAGAUUUACUUGUUCUGUUGUUUUGCUGUAAUUAACUUAUUGAUGUCAUGUGUCAGACUGGAAUCUGAUCCGACCUUGCUGGGACCAGUCCUAAAUUUUC